AAGUUAGACCCGUCUACUUUAGGAACACGUUUAGAGCUCGAUGUUUUGUAUUGCCUAUAAGGCCAAACGCAAAAUCUUACUGAAUGUCGGUUUGGUUAGAAGUAUGUGUACAUUCAGCAAGGAAAUGACCCCCACCUUAUCUAGGUAGUAACCUUAUCUAAUCGAUUCCCUAACGGUCUGUUGUUUAGAGAAAGCGAAACUUCUUCGCCGCACCUGUCCUGUCUAUUUCGCAUGCACAAAGGUGACCUUGUGUCACACCCAAGGGAGGGAGAGGCGGGAGAGAGGAAACCCAUUUCACGCGGAGAAUGCCAGUAAUGGCGGAUCAGCCUCAGGAAUGGCGAUGUACGAUGUACUUAAAUUCCUUUCUGCCUUUUCACCGGCGGUGUUUUAAGCCUCCCUCCCGCCUCAAUUGGUUAACGGAGGGUAACCAAACGGGAGCAGACAGGUAGACUGAUAAUGUCAACACAUGACGAGGCGAAGGUAGAUCUCAGAUUUCAAGGUGGAGAGAAGGAGAGAGAGGAAGAGACAGAGGCGCCAAAGGUUCCUGUCCAGAGAGACGCAAAGUGGAAGAGGACGAAAAAGACAGAGAGACCCCAGCAUGUGAGGUGGUCCCAGGAGAAGAAUCAUCAUGGAAACGAAGUGGAAACUGACCAGUGCACUCAGACACCACUCAGUGCCAACAGUGGCGGGAUAGAACAGACAGAGCUAACUUUGAGGACCAGGGAGGAGAGUCACGGCCAACCUGCAGUUCUGAACAAGAACCCCAACCAGACCUGGUUUACAUCCUCCCUUUCCUUCAGACUCUCCUCUCAACACAGCAAGAAACACGACCUGGAAAAACUAGAGUCCACAGCUCAGAGGGAACACUGUCUACACAGUUCUCAGGGACCUGUAAGGAACACACCUAUAGCUCAAGCACAGGUGAAAAGAGAAGUCUCACCAUCAUAUUAUUUUAUACCAGCCAAUCGCCCUUCAGAGGAAGAGGAAGUGACAUCACUUCCUUUUAAAGAGGAAGAGGAUUCCAAGACAGCCAUGUUGUCCUCCACGCUGGUGUCGGUUCUCGCCCCGCAGUGGAGUGGGAGAAUACGCAGGAACAAGCGGGGCAUGGCCGGUACGGACAUUGGUGUGGUUGGCACGGCAACCAGUGAGUCUGGACAGGAAACCCAAGGUAGCGGACAGGAAGUGAGCGCGGGGGGUGUGCUUUUGAAGCCACAAGUCCCUCUCGAGACAGACUCUGUAGGACAACGACGACAACAACAGUUUCUGGAGACCCAGAACCAACGUGUUGGGGAGAGGGGGUUGACCCUUGGAUCACAAGUCCAUGAGAGGGCUUCAACACUGGGUAGCAGCAGAAGCACAGUGGGGGGCUGGUAUGAGGGAAGCACCCCCAGCCUCAAACUGGACAACCCAACAAAGGCCCCAGUUUCUAAGCCUGUCUCUCUGGAUGUGAGUUGGGGGAGGCUGGUCAACAGAGGGGGAGAGGGGGGAGCUGUUUCCCCUGUUACUCCCGACCUGCAUGUACACAAGGGAAUGCUACAGGCUAGUUGUCAAGGAGACCAGACAUCAUUGCUGAGUUCCAAACCAACAACCAGUAGCCUUCUUUUCUCUCUGAGAAGGCUCAACACUGUUGCGAGCUCUAUCCACUCAGAAACCAAUAUCUCCUCUCCAACCAAUGACAGAGAUGGAGAGACUUCAAGUCCACACCUCUCUCCAACCACAACCAAUUACAAAGCAUCAGAGACAAUUAGGGCACACUUUUCCUUAACCUCAUCCAAUGAUGGAGCCAGAGAGAGGUCCAAGUUCCUCCCAAAUUCAGCUUCUCCAACUUACAGGACAAUAGAGAGAUCAAGGCACCUCCCCUUACCAACUUCCAAUCACAGAGAAGCAAAUACACACAGGACACAACUAUUUUCAACCUCGCCCAAUUACAAAGACACAGAGGGCAUACCCUUUACCAAACUUCCCCAGACUUCCAGGGCGUAUCCCAACCCAACCUUCCCCAGUAAGCAGACUCUUCUGUUAAGUGGUCUAGAGAGACUUUCCCCCUCAGAGAGACCAGAUGGAACCACAGUUCCCAUCAGUGAUACUCAUCUUCCUUCCUCUCCACCGUUCCAAUAUGACCACCUGGAUUUUCUAAGGAGCCAGUCUCUUCCCAGAGGAACCACCCUGAGAUCUACUAGCUGGAGAAAGCACAUUACUCUGGAGAACAGUGUGUCUAAUCCCAGUUCCCCCCUCAGUCCCACUACCACUAUCAACAACAACAACAACAACACAUCCAGCCUCUCAAGCACUUCCAGAAAUAAUAACACAGGCCCCUCUAGCACCAAUGAUAACACUGGUGUCAAUCCCCAAAUCAGCAUCAAUAACAACAAUAAUUUAGUCACCCCCAACAAUACCAACCUAAACCGCAAUACUGUCACUGGCAAACACACAACUCAGAGCACCCUUAAAAGGACUUAUGCUCAAGAUAUCCCAGACCAGGAUUCCUAUAGAAUACUCAAAACUCAGGAUUCCCUUAACUCGAAUGACCGACAAUCACAAAAGCCCUAUUGUUUGUCCAAUAUCUCCUUCAGCUCUAACAACAGUAGCCCAGCUAGCUCGAGCACUUUGAGUUUCCCAAUAAAGUCCAGCAAGCCUGAUCGCUACAGUAGGCCAUCUAGUUAUGACACCAUCUACACCCCUCUGACCGUAUUUAGCCCCAAGACUUCAACCAGCUCUGAAACCAGUGACACUCAAUCCUCCCUCAGUAGUCAUAGAAUCCUUUAUAAGUCCCAUUCCCCGAACCCCUCUUCCAGACAGCUCUCCUUACAAACCAGUAUCGCCUCCACAUCCCUCAGUAGCCACAGACCCCUCUAUAGUUCCCGCUCACUCAAUACCACCAGCUCUAUGAGCCAAGACCCCCAAAACAGCCCAAAAUCUCCACCCCCAGUCGUCAGAAGCCAGAUUCCCAUAGUGAGUAACACUCACACCCCCACAUCCCAACUGCAGGCCCCUAAAACUGCUUACACGCCUACCACAACUCCCCAACCACUCCUACUUAAAACCGGCUACGUCCCCAGUAUCCCAACCCCGACCCGCUACACCCGACCGUUGUCCCCAGCCAGCUAUAGCCCCAUAUCCCUGAGUAUCCCCACCACCCAGGCCCCCUCCACCCUUCCCCUCUCCCCACCCAGCUCGUCCCCUCUGGUGAAAAGGACGUUCAUAGGCAGCCUAGACCUCUCCCCUAAGAAACACCAGCCCCAAGUGGAAGGGAGGGUAACAGCACAUAGAGCGUGGCAGGAGUCACAUUCACCUCAGAGACCUCUGUCCCCAACCAGACCCCUCCGUAGUGUAGGGGGUCCCGCCAUCUUCUCCUCCCUGAGAUCGAGCAGCCCAACCUGGGCUACGUCACCUUUGUCUCCCCCAACCCCCAGGACCACCAAACUACAAGUUUGGAGGGGAACCUCGAUGCAUAACUUAUCCAUAAUAUCUGAUACAUUGGUGAAGGAGGGAGGGCAAGCUCUCUCAGAGCGUGUUAGCGACCACACUUCAAACUUCACAUUCAACCACACAGGAACCGACUCCACCGCAAUAGGACCACAGAGGGAGACCGCUGCCCCUCUCUCCCUUCCAGAUUUUGGGAGCUUUUCCAAGCCACGAUUUAGCUCCCCGCCCUACUCCACACUCAAGUCUUCACGCCCAACACUGGGUGAGGUCACACACACACACACAAACUCACCCCAACCCCUUCUCUCACCCCCUACCUCACCCCAACACUACCCCUUCUACGGCCAUCACAGGGCUAGGUCACAGGACAGUUCAAAGGUUGUUGCCUUGGAAAUUGAUUGGGUCAACAACAACUCCAAACAGACCAGUCAAGAAAAUGUUGAGACACUUGUGUACAGGAUUUCUAAAGUUGAUUCCUCUGCCAUAUUGGACAGUAUUAGGCCUGCACAGCCCUGUUUUCCUCGACACACUCCAGACAAACGAGUCGUCACAGAGAUAAAGUCCAAUGAACUCUGCCGUCUACCAUUACAACACAGCCAGGUGAUUGGAAGUCCCAGCUGUCAAUCAUACCAAAGCUCCAAUGACAGUGGAGCAUUAGACACUGAGAAGGAUGUGUGUAAAAGCGAGAGUUUGCCUAAGAGUGGAGUGGCUCCAUUACAAACCCAGAGCCCAAAGAAAGGCUUAUUCUCACUGAGGGGUAAGAGAGACAAUGUUGUUGCUACACCUGCUGCCAAUCUCCCUAGAAACCCAGCGAUGCCUCAGUCUGAGAAACCAAAGAACGAGUCAGAGAAGGAGCAAAAGGAAAGUAACAAAAUAGACCUGGUGCUGAGUCGACUCCGGCAGACCUUCAGAGUCAAACGUCUCGAUGACGAGAGGACGAAGAGAACACCCCAGCCACCUUCUGUCAGAGGAGCCAGUGACAUUAGUGAUGUCACUGAGAGCAGUGGUUCUAGCGAUCGAGAAGAGAAGGAAAAAUGGAGGGAGAAUGAUGGCGUUCACAAACCUUCAAACUCUUUCUGGGCUGGCAGUGAGCACACGUCAGAUAUGACGAAGGAAAAUGUUAGACGUGAACACUCACAGUUUGAGGGUUUUAAAGACCAUACAGAGGCUAGAAACAGAGACCAGCCUUGUGUUAUGGACCUUCCUCAAUUUGAGUCUUACAAGGACGAAAGCAUCACGAAACCCAAAGACCAACCUUCUAGUAGCGAGAUCAGCCUAAGCAGGCGGCAGUUUGAAGCUUACAAAGAGGAGAGGAUCAGUAGAGCCAGAAAGCAACCUCCUCAGAGAGACUUCAGCUCCGUUAUGCGUCAACCCUGGGACCCCAGCCGCUCUGCAACCCUCCCUGCCUACAGAACCUCCUCAGGCAGCCCCAGAAACACUUUCUCUGUCUUACACUUCAGCCAGAAGGACUCUGAGAACGAUAACGUGUUCCACGUUCCCAGGAUUCCUCAGAGGAAGAAGACCACCUCUCUCUGUGAGCCAGGGGACAGGGAGUUUGGUUCCGGAGAUCAGCGUGGCAGUGAGGGACGUCUGGCCUCCUUCUCCUCCUGUGCUGAUCUCAAAUAUGGUCUUGAGGCUGGGCGUUCCUUCUCUGUGACUUCUGUGCUCUCUAGCCGACCUUCGGGUCCUGGACGCAUCUCCUCAGGCCCUAGCGUCAGCAGUGUCAGUGACCUCACUUACCCCGCUCUGACCUUUGGAGAAGAGGUCAUGACUUGGGAUGACUGUAGGGUCAAAGGUGAUUGGACAAUACCAAUGUGGGACACACACACAACCACUGGCCACAAAACCACAGGUGACAGCCAAGCUGUAAAUGACUGGUCUGUCGUUAGUGACAGGACAUCCAGAAAUGAGCGCAAAACAAUCAAAGCUAAUUUUAUAAAUCCACACAAGGCUAGAUCCAAAUCUCUACCCAGAAAUGUAUCCUGGAGUUCAGAGUUCACCGCCCCAUCUCCAACCUCCACCACCACUGGCCGCAUGUGGAACCAUGGCAGCCUGGAGACCUCUCACUCCCUGUGGGAUACAGAGGGUCCUCCAACCCCCCCUCCGUCCCCAGCCUCCAGACGCAUAUCUCGCCCUCCCAGCUCCUCCUCUGCCUCCCCCACAGACAUCAGGGCAUCACCGGACAGCCUGUCCCCUAGGGGGCGCCUACCCUCCAGGGGCUACGUCUCCAACCUGGCAGUCUUCGAGGAGUCCGACUCAGGCUCUGACAUGGACUCUGACACAACCACAGAUGAUGAAUACUACCUGGCAGGUGAUGGCGGUGAGAAGGAGACUGAACUGUGAGAAGAAAUACUGUAUGGGAUGCAUCUCAAUAGUCUAAAGUGGGUCUGUCUGUCUCCUUUUUGUCUCCUUCUAUAGAAAGGAUACUUACUUACACACCUAUUUAUGCUCACUAAAAACAGACUUGUUAAGUGGGCAUAGCUCUGGGCCUCCCGAGUGGCGCAGUGGGCUAAGGCACUGCAUCGCGGUGCUAGUUGUGCCACUAGAGAACCUGGUUCGAGUCCAGGCUCUGUCGCGCCUGUCCGUGACCGGGAGACCCAUGAAGCGGCGCAAAAUUGGCCCAGCGUGGUACGGGUUAGGGGAGGGUUUGACAUGCAGGGAUGUUCUUCUCCCAUCGUGCACUAGUGACUCCUGUGGCGCGCCGGGUGCAGUGCACGCUGUCACAGUGUCCAGGUGUACGGUGCAUCCUCCAACACAUUGGUGCAGCUGGCUUCUGGGUUAAGCGGGCAUUGUGUCAAGAAGCAGUGUGGCUUGGCUGGGUUGUGUUUCAGGGGACGCUUGAGUUGCAGCGAUGGGACAAGACUGUAACUACCAAUUGGAUAAAAUAAAAAGUGCAUGGCUGACAGUAAAGAAGUCAACACUGUCAUAUCACAGGUUAAAGUCAUGCUCUUAUCCUGGGAUCCAAAGAGCAGCUCAUCAUAUGAACUCUACACCAUAUCCAAGAGCAUGGCACUUUGUUUUUUUGUCAUGUUGCUUGGAUAUAUGGGCCUCUCACUUGACUUUCUCAUGUCUGAUAUUUGUUUAGUUAUCAGUGGGAAGUGUACUGUAUAUGCUAGGUUAAAGGUAUUUCCUCAUCUGCUACAGAUUAAAUGAACAAAGGGCUCUAGCUAUGAAGCUAUCCUAUCCUGUUUUAAUACUUCUGCAGCUGUUCUAACCAUGUCCUUUAUUCACAAAGCGUAUCAGAGUAGGAGUGCUGGUCUAGGAUCAGGUCCCCCCUGUACAUAUGAUCAUAUUCAUUGUGAUCUGAAGCCAAAACGGAUCUUAGGUGAGCACUCCUAAACUAAGACUCCUUGAGAAUACGGGCCCUGUUGUGGUAGAGUCCUACACCCGGUGAGAGGUAUACCUACCAUACUCAGUUUGGCUGGGGUCAUAUUUCAUUGUCAAGUGCUGCCUAUCAAUAUGCUUUAAGCUAGCAUGCUAUAUGAUAUGCAAGGUAAAUAUCUUUGAAUGUUUUAAUUCUCAUGGAAAUCAGUAUUUUCUAUUUUGGUUGUCUUGGAAGGUUUUCCUGAAAUGCGUAUGUGUGCAUUAUAAACAGAUGAUUGUUAUUCAAAUUUUGUGAAUUACUUUUUGUGUAAUUCAACAAUUGUUUUUGGAUCAAGUAUAUGGUAAAUAUAUUGUGAAUUAACAAUAAACCAGUUCUAAUUCUGUAUCUGCCCCUUUGUAUUAUAAGUAUAUAUAUAUAUAUAUAUAUAUAUAUAUAUAUAUAUAUAUAUAUAUCAAACUGUUAUGCCCAACUAUCAUAUCUAACCAAAGACUGUGUGCUGUGACAUUAGUGUUUUGACUUUCCCCUUGCAUACCUGAAUAGUUAUGCCUGCCACCAACACCACAAGAGCAGGCCUACCAAACCACAUUCCAACUAUACUAAUGGACCUAGACUAACAAUACUGAACGCAAAGCCUUAUUACAUACUUGCUGCUUUAAAUAGUGCAUGUAACGAGUGUGUGGAUGGGGCUAUUUAGUGGUCUUGUACUAAGACGGUGUUUCCUCUAUUCCAAUUACAAUGCUGUAAGAAUACCUCGAUACAGUCGUUUGUCUGUGUGGUUAGUGGGAUAGAGUGCAGCUGGUCACAGUUAACUUUGGCCAUUUUCUAUGAUGUCACUUGGGAAGGGCCACACAGGCCUACACACCCAGAACAAUGUGUACAAGCUAUAAUGUUUUUGUCAUGCUUUAGACCUCAUCGACCAUCUUGGACUUCAUUUGUGUUCAGUGUUUGUGUUCAAACUCUCUAUUUGUGUCCGUUUCUAUAGUGUUUUGCACAAUAAUUAUUAAUAGGUAAUGCAAUGUUAUGUAUACAACACAGGAGGUUGGUGGCAGCUUAGUGGGUGAGAACGGUCUCAUGAUAAUGUCUGGAGCGGAUUUAUGGAAUGGUAUUAAAUACGUAAAACACAUGGUUUCCAGGUGUUUGUCAUUCCAUUGGCUCCGUUCCAGCCAUUAUUAUGAGCCGUUCUCCCCUCACCAGCCUCCUGUGUUAUACAAUGUUAUGUACAGUGCAUUCGGAAAGUAUUCAGACCCCUUGACUUUUUCCACAUUUUGUUACAUUACAGCCUUAUUCUAAAUUUCAUAAAAUAGUUUUUUCCCCUCAUCAAUCUAAACACAAUACCCCGUAUUGACAAAGCAAAAACAGGUUUUUAGAAAUUUUUGCAAAUGUAUAAAAAAAGAUAUAUGUAAGUAUUAAGACCUAUGUCUAUGAGACUCAACAUUUUUAAAGAGUUUUUGCUUUGGCGACAAACAUGAGCAUACAGUUCCUUCGGAAAGUAUUCAGACGCCUUGAAUUUUUCCACAUUUUGUUAUGUUACAGCCUUAUUCUAAAAUGGAUUAAAAAAUGUAACUCAGCAAUCUACACGCAAUACCCCAUAAUGACAAAGUGAAAACAGGUUUUUAGAAAUGUUUGCUAAUUUAUAAAAAGAAAAAGGGAUACCUUAUUGACAUAAGUAUUCAGAUACUUUGCUAUGAGACUCAACUGAGCUCAGGUGCAUCCUGUUUCCAUUGAUCAUCCUUGAGAUGUUUCUACAACUUGAUUUUAGUCCACCUGUGGUAAAUUUAAUUGAUUGGACAUGAUUUGGAAAGGCACACACCUGUCUAUAUAAGGUCCCACAGUUGACAGAGCAAAAACCAAGCCGUGAGGUCAAAAUAAUUGUCCGUAGAGCGCAGAGAAAAGAUUGUCUUGAGGCACAGAUUUAGGGAAGGGUACUAAAACAUUUCUGCAGCAUUGAAGGUCCCCAAGAACACAGUGACCUCCAUCAUUCUUAAAUGGAAUAAGUUUGAAACCACUAAGACUCAUCCUAGAGCUGACCGCAAUCAGGGGCUAAGGGCCUUGGUCAGGGAGGUGACCAAGAACCCGGUGGCCACUCUUGACAGAGCUCCAGAGUUCCUCUGUGGAGAUGGGAGAACCUUCCAGAAGGACAACCAUCUCUGCAGCACUCCACCAAUCAGGCCUUUAUGGUAGAGUGGCCAGACGGAAGCCACUCAGUAAAAGGCACAUGAUAGCCUGCUUGGAGUUUGCCAAAAAGCACCUAAAGGACUCUGACUAUGAGAAACAAGAUUCUCUGGUCUGAUUAAACCAAGAUUGAACUCUUUGGCCUGGAUGCCAAGUGUCACGUCUGGAGGAAACCUGGCAUCAUCCCUACGGUGAAGCAUGGUGGUGGCAGCAUAAUGCUGUGGGGUUGUUUUACAGCGGCAGGGACUGGGAGACUAGUCAGGAUCGAGGGAAAGAUGAACGGAGCAAAGUAGAGAGAGAUCCUUGAUGAAAGCUACUCCAGAGUGGCUUCAGGACAGGUCUCUGAAUGUCCUUGAGUGGCCCAGCCAGAGCCCGGACUUGAACCUGAUCAAACCUGAGUAAAGGGUCUGAAUACUUAUGUAAAUGUCAUAUUUCAUUUUUUUUUUCUUAUAUACAUUUUCAAACAUUUCUAAAAAACAGUUUUUGCUUUGUCAUUUUGGGGUAUUAUGUGUAGAUUGAUGUAGGGGGGGAACAAUUUAAUACAUUUUAGAAUAAGGCUGUAACGUAACAAAAUGUGGAAAAAGUCAAGGGGUCUGAAUACUUUCCGAAUGCACUGUAUGUAUGGCUGUCAGGCGUUGUUGAAUAUGUAUUCAGCAGGCGUAGGUGCUAUCAGCAGUGCUCAUGGCAUUACAUGCAUGCACCUGCUUGUCUCUGCCUCUACACUUCAAAGGACUUCUCCCCACUACAGUUCAACCUGUCAGCACAACAACAACAUUCGAAAGGGCGUCUCCUAAUAGUUAUUACAUAAUGAUGGGUUAUUAAAAUAAAAUGGUCAUUUGGAAAAUAUUACCUUUCUCUUCUCCCCUCCCAUCCUCCCUUUUUCUUUCCAUCUACCUCACACCCUGGCAAGGUUUCUGUCUCUCUCUGUCUCUCUCUCUCCCUCCUCUCUCUCAUAUACUCUGGCAAGGGUUCUAGAGUCAUCGUUUCCCAUGGCUGUUGGGUGGAAUGCAGUCUCAGAACAUUGGGUGCAGUUCUGUGGUGUUCACUGUUUGGCAGGCAGGAGACAGCUACACCCCAAAUUAAGUGUGAGAAUCUCUUUCUCUAUUUCAUGUAAUGUACAGUACCGAUCAAAAGUAUGGACACACCUACUCAUUCAAGGGUUUUUCUUUAUUUUUACUAGUUUCUACAUUGUAGAAUAAUAGUGAAGACAUCAAAACUAUGAAAUAACACAUAUGGAAUCAUGUAGUAACCAAAAAAGUGUUAAACAAAUCAAAAUAUAUUUUACAUUUGAGAUUCUUCAAAGUAGCCACCCUUUGCCUUGAUGACAGCUUUGCACACUCUUGGUAUUCUCUCAACCAGCUUCAUGAGGUAUUCACCUGGAAUGCAUUUCA
rnacentral:lncRNA from 8 species